UCUAAAUGUCAAUUGUGUGCCCAUGCAUCU
rnacentral:piRNA from 1 species